UACGGAGGGUGCAAGCGUUAUCCGGAUUUACUGGGUUUAAAGGGUGCGUAGGUGGGUCUGUAAGUCAGUGGUGAAAUCUCCGGGCUUAACCCGGAAACUGCCAUUGAUACUAUAGAUCUUGAAUAUCCUGGAGGUGAGCGGAAUAUGUCAUGUAGCGGUGAAAUGCUUAGAUAUGACAUAGAACACCGAUUGCGAAGGCAGCUCACAAAACUAUAACUGACACUGAGGCUCGAAAGUGCGGGGAUCAAACAGG
rnacentral:rRNA from 1 species